AUUGAACGCUGGCGGCAUGCCUUACACAUGCAAGUCGAACGGUAACGCGGGGCAACCUGGCGACGAGUGGCGAACGGGUGAGUAAUGCAUCGGAACGUGCCUGGUAGUGGGGGAUAACUGCUCGAAAGAGCAGCUAAUACCGCAUACGACCUGAGGGUGAAAGGGGGGGAUCGCAAGACCUCUCGCUAUCAGAGCGGCCGAUGUCGGAUUAGCUAGUUGGUGGGGUAAAGGCCCACCAAGGCAACGAUCCGUAGCUGGUCUGAGAGGACGACCAGCCACACUGGGACUGAGACACGGCCCAGACUCCUACGGGAGGCAGCAGUGGGGAAUUUUGGACAAUGGACACAAGUCUGAUCCAGCCAUGCCGCGUGCGGGAAGAAGGCCUUCGGGUUGUAAACCGCUUUUGUCAGGGAAGAAAAGGCUCGAACUAAUACUUUGGGCUCAUGACGGUACCUGAAGAAUAAGCACCGGCUAACUACGUGCCAGCCGCCGCGGUAAGAC
rnacentral:rRNA from 1 species